GCCCCCAUCGUCUAGUGGACUAGGACAUCAGCCUUUCAAGCUGAAGACGGGGAUUCGAAUUCCCCUGGGGGCA
rnacentral:tRNA from 1 species